CCUAACACAUGCAAGUCGAGCGCCCGUAGCAAUACGGGAGCGGCAGACGGGAGAGUAACACGUGGGAACGUGCCCUUCGGUUCGGAAUAACGCAGGGAAACUUGCGCUAAUACCGGAUACGCCCUUACGGGGAAAGAUUUAUUGCCGAAGGAGCGGCCCGCGUCUGAUUAGCUAGUUGGUGAGGUAACGGCUCACCAAGGCUACGAUCAGUAGCUGGUCUGAGAGGAUGACCAGCCUCACUGGGACUGAGACACAGCCCAGACUCCUACGGGAGGCAGCAGUGGGGAAUAUUGGACAAUGGGCGCAAGCCUGAUCCAGCCAUGCCGCGUGGGUGAUGAAGGCCCUAGGGUUGUAAAGCCCUUUCGGCGGGGAAGAUAAUGACGGUACCCGCAGAAGAAGCCCCGGCUAACUUCGUGCCAGCAGCCGCGGUAAUACGAAGGGGGCUAGCGUUGCUCGGAAUCACUGGGCGUAAAGCGCACGUAGGCGGCUUUCUAAGUCAGAGGUGAAAUCCUGGAGCUCAACUCCAGAACUGCCUUUGAUACUGGAAGGCUUGAGUCCGGGAGAGGUGAGUGGAACUGCGAGUGUAGAGGUGAAAUUCGUAGAUAUUCGCAAGAACACCAGUGGCGAAGGCGGCUCACUGGCCCGGUACUGACGCUGAGGUGCGAAAGCGUGGGGAGCAAACAGGAUUAGAUACCCUGGUAGUCCACGCCGUAAACGAUGGAUGCUAGCCGUUGUCGGGUUUACUCGUCAGUGGCGCAGCUAACGCAUUAAGCAUCCCGCCUGGGGAGUACGGUCGCAAGAUUAAAACUCAAAGGAAAUUGACGGGGGGCCCGCACAAGCCGGUGGAGCAUG
rnacentral:rRNA from 1 species